rnacentral:rRNA from 1 species
AGCAGCCGCGGUAAUUCCAGCUCCAAUAGCGUAUAUUAAAGUUGUUGCAGUUAAAAAGCUCGUAGUUGAAUUUCGGGAUCAAUACGCCUGUCGUGCCUUCGGUACGUACGGGUGUAAUUGGUUUCUACCUUCUGAGGAUCCUUGAUGUCAUUAAUUUGAUGUCUUGGGGAAUCAGGACUGUUACCUUGAAAAAAUUAGAGUGUUUAAAGCAGGCAUACGCUUGAAUACAUUAGCAUGGAAUAAUGAAAUAGGACGUUCGAUUCUAUUUUGUUGGUUUCUAGGAUCGACGUAAUGAUUAAUAGGGAUAGUUGGGGGCAUUAGUAUUCAAUUGUCAGAGGUGAAAUUCUUGGAUUUAUUGAAGACUAACUACUGCGAAAGCAUUUGCCAAGGAUGUUUUCAUUAAUCAAGAACGAAAGUUAGGGGAUCGAAGACGAUCAGAUACCGUCGUAGUCUUAACCAUAAACUAUGCCGACUAGGGAUCGGAUGAUGUUAAUUUUUAAUGACUCAUUCGGCGCCUUAA